rnacentral:tRNA from 1 species
GGGCCCGUAGCUCAGCCAGGAUAGAGCGCCGGCCUCCUAAGCCGGUGGUCCCGGGUUCAAAUCCCGGCGGGCCCGCCA